rnacentral:rRNA from 1 species
AAUCCAUAGGUUAAUGAGGCGAACCGGGGGAACUGAAACAUCUAAGUACCCCGAGGAAAAGAAAUCAACCGAGAUUCCCCCAGUAGCGGCGAGCGAACGGGGAGGAGCCCAGAGCCUGAAUCAGCAUGUGUGUUAGUGGAAGCGUCUGGAAAGGCGCGCGAUACAGGGUGACAGCCCCGUACACAAAAGCGCAUGUGCUGUGAGCUCGAUGAGUAGGGCGGGACACGUGGUAUCCUGUCUGAAUAUGGGGGGACCAUCCUCCAAGGCUAAAUACUCCUGACUGACCGAUAGUGAACCAGUACCGUGAGGGAAAGGCGAAAAGAACCCCGGCGAGGGGAGUGAAAAAGAACCUGAAACCGUGUACGUACAAGCAGUGGGAGCCCCACCACUAAGCCAGUGGUGAACUCCACAUACGCAUCCUUUGCUGAGGAUACGGUUAACGGAGCGAAAGCGACGUUCAACCGCAAAAGAAGCAGAGGGGGCUUAGUGGUGGGGUGACUG